AAUUAAACAUUUAUAUUAAUAAACAGCAUACUCAUAAGCUUCCUAAGAUGAAACAGUAAUGAUUAAAAGCAUAAUUAUAAUCAUGUGCAAAUUCUCAGACAAAUCAAUUUAGUGGAGAUAAGGGAGCUUGAGGGGGAGAUAAGGGAGAUGGAGCUAUUAGAGUUGGAAGACCUCUAACUACUUAUCAUGGAGAGCUUCAGCUGAUCAAUCUCAUUCUUCAUUUCCAUCAUCUGCUGUUUCUCAUUAACAAUCUACUGUUGCAACACCUCAACUUGUAGCUUUAAAGCAAUAAUCUGCGGAUCAGAUGAUAAUGAUGCCCCCAUUAUGGAAGAUGAAUCGCGAGGGUAAUAAAUGAUGCUUGAUGAAGUCAAAUUAUAUAUCUUGUUAA
rnacentral:misc_RNA from 1 species